rnacentral:rRNA from 1 species
UUAAGCAUAUCAAUAAGCGGAGGAAGAGAAACCAACAGGGAUUCCCUUAGUAACGGCGAGCGAAGUGGGAACAUGCCCAGGUCUGAAAUCUCCCGGCUGGCAAUUGUUACGGCCGGGCGAAUUGUGGUCUGGAGAGGCGGACUGUCCCGAUCCACUGCUUGCGAGCCCGAAGUUGACUUGGAACGGCAUGCCAAAGAGGGUGAGAGCCCCGUAGGGCCCGGAAAUCGGAAGCAGCGGGACGAGGGUCCGUACUCGUAGAGUCGGGUUGUUUGGGAAUGCAGCCCCAAGUGGGUGGUAGACUCCAUCCAAGGCUAAAUACGGGCGCGAGACCGAUAGCUGACAAGUACCGUGAGGGAAAGGUGAAAAGCACUUUGAAGAGAGAGUUCAAUAGACCGUGAAACCGUUGGGAGGGAAGCUCAGGGUGUCGAGGUUGUCGUGCUCCUUUGGGGUUCAGCUGGUGGUGGUUUGCGCUGCUGCCGGUGCUAUCUCCGAAGGCGUUGGACCGUCAGUUGGGAAGAGACAGGGGUCUGAUUAUCGGCGGUUGGGAGGUGCGCCGUAGUGUUCCUUGGAAGACUGGGGUGACAUAUAGCCAUUCCGUCGUGGUCCCUGUUCUCUUUCAGGUGCGUUGGAUGUCUGAUCGUCCGAAAUGGUAAGGUGCAGUCUCCCCUUGUGGGAGUUCGGGCCGUUGUCGCGGUUGCGUUGCCUUGUGGAGUCGUGUUCCGUUCACUCUCCGUUACGCUUGUCGUGCGGGGUAGGGUGCGGCACGUCGCUCGAGUGUUGGCGUCCCGUGGGAGCGUGUUCCAAGUUCUGUGCCGAGGCGACUG